UACGUAGGUGGCAAGCGUUGUCCGGAUUUACUGGGCGUAAAGAGCGCGCAGGCGGUCGUUCAAGUCGCGUGUGAAGGCCCCCGGCUCAACUGGGGAGGGUCACGCGAUACUGAUCGACUCGAAGGCAGGAGAGGGUAGUGGAAUUCCCGGUGUAGUGGUGAAAUGCGUAGAUAUCGGGAGGAACACCAGUGGCGAAGGCGGCUUCCUGGCCUGUUCUUGACGCUGAGGCGCGAAAGCUAGGGGAGCAAACGGG
rnacentral:rRNA from 1 species